rnacentral:rRNA from 1 species
UACGAAGGGGGCUAGCGUUGCUCGGAAUCACUGGGCGUAAAGGGUGCGUAGGCGGGUCUUUAAGUCAGAGGUGAAAUCCUGGAGCUCAACUCCAGAACUGCCUUCGAUACUGAGGAUCUUGAGUACGGGAGAGGUGAGUGGAACUGCGAGUGUAGAGGUGAAAUUCGUAGAUAUUCGCAAGAACACCAGUGGCGAAGGCGGCUCACUGGCCCGUUACUGACGCUGAGGCACGAAAGCGUGGGGAGCAAACAGG